UACGGAGGGGGCUAGCGUUGUUCGGAAUUACUGGGCGUAAAGCGCACGUAGGCGGAUUGGAAAGUCAGAGGUGAAAUCCCAGGGCUCAACCUUGGAACUGCCUUUGAAACUCCCAGUCUUGAGUUCGAGAGAGGUGAGUGGAAUUCCGAGUGUAGAGGUGAAAUUCGUAGAUAUUCGGAGGAACACCAGUGGCGAAGGCGGCUCACUGGCUCGAUACUGACGCUGAGGUGCGAAGGCAUGGGGAGCGAACAGG
rnacentral:rRNA from 1 species